CUUGAGCAGUGGAUGCGGCGGCGGCGCGCUGCACAGAGGAGAAGGAACCUCCACCGGCGGCUGUGAUGCGCAGCGGGACUCUGCGGGCUGAGCAACACUUCGAUGGGAUAAAACCUCCCGCUCGCGUUUGAUCCACCCAUCCCGCGCGCCCGCGCGUUUGUUUGUUUGUUUGUUUGUUUGCGCGUGCGCGUGUCUUUGUGUGCGUGUGUGUGUGUGUGUGUGCGCGCAGCGAUAGCGCCGGAUGACAACCUAGUGCGCUCCACAGAGAAACAAACACGCGGCGGCGGGGGCCUCAACUCGGAGCCGCGUGGUGGACGUUGUGCAAGUUUUUUUUUCCUCCUUUUUUUGUCUUCGAUAUUGACUUGAAUCCCGUUUCGAGGCGCGCGCCCGGAGCCCGAAGCCCCGCACGAGAUGGAGAGCGAGAAGUACUUGCCGGAGCUCAUGGCAGAGAAGGACACGCUGGAUCCGUCUUUCCAGCACUCCCUGCGGCUGCUGGAUCAAGAGAUUGAGAAAAUUCAGAAAGACGAGGAGAAGGAAGAGGAGAAGUUCAUCGACGUCGUCAUCAACAAGAACAUGAAACUGGGCCAGAAGAUUUUAAUACCAGUCAAGCAGUUUCCCAAAUUUAACUUUGUCGGCAAACUCCUGGGGCCACGCGGGAACUCGUUGAAGAGGCUACAGGAGGACACGCUCACAAAGAUGUCCAUUCUGGGAAAAGGAUCCAUGAGGGACAAAGAGAAGGAAGAAGAGCUACGGCAGAGCGGCGAGGCCAAAUAUCACCACCUGAACGAAGACCUGCACGUCCUCAUCGAGGUGUUCGCCCCGCCGGCCGAGGCCUACGCCAGGAUGGGUCACGCUCUGGAGGAGAUCAAGAAGUUUCUGAUACCAGAUUACAAUGAUGAGAUCAGACAGGCCCAGCUGCAGGAGCUCACGUACCUGAACGGCGGCUCGGAGGAUGCCAAGGUGCCGUCGGUGAGGGGCAAGCCGGCCGCCCGUGCCAGAGGCACACCUGUUCCAGGGCCUCCGAGGACUCGAGGAGGAGUUCCUCCACUUCAUGCGGCCGUGCCCCGGGGGGCGGCACCCAGGGGGGCCCCGCCCAUCCGGGCUCCUUCUUCCAGAGGGAGGGGGGUUCAGAGAGCCAGAGGCGCCCCGCCGACCGCCGGGUACCGGCCGGCUCCUCCGAUAGUGCAGGACACAUACGGCGAAUAUGAAUAUGACGAUGAGUACGGAACAACUUAUGAGGACCAAGGAUAUGAAUCGUAUGACAACAACUACAGCAAUCAAGGACAAAACUCGGAUGACUACUAUGAAUACGGACACAGCGAGGAGUCGUACGAUUCGUACGGACUGGAAGAGUGGGCGAACAGCCGCGCCAAGGCACCGCCGGCACGAACAGCCAAGGGGGUUUACAGAGAUCAGCCGUACACCAGAUAUUGAACUGUUUAUACCACCUGCACCUCCUUUCAACCCAAGCUGAUCGCCCAGCUGCACCAGUCCAUCCGUCCCAUCAUCUCACUGGUGCUAAAGAUUUCACCGUCCGAACAUCCACGCCCGCGCGGCGUCAAGCGUCAUCGCCAUCGUGGAUCUCCUCUGGGGCCCAACGCCGGACUUUCACCUGCUGCGGUGCACAAAAAAAGGUGGAGGAAGAUCACACGCGCGUCGUCGUUCUCUGGGCACAAAGAAACCGCCGAGGCGAAUGGAGUUCCUCGUCCUCUGGGACGAUCCGUCUGACAAUGUUUCCCUCGGAGCUCGUGCGUUUGUGUGUGCAGCGUGCGUGCACACGGGAGGGCGCUGCACUGACCCUCGAACCUGCACUCUGUCUCUCUUGUUUCGGACUGUUUGUUAGGAGGACGCGUCCACCAAGGCGCGGACACAUUUAAAGCAGAGACACUUGUAAUCUAACAUCGCUAUGCUCAUUAACCUGCAUCCCAGCCAAUGAAUGAGUGCCUUAUUGUUGCCGUGCACCUUUAUGUGUUUAGUCCCAUUGCAUUAUUGCUGCAUAUUGGGCUGUUGAGUAGAAAAUAUAAACUAUUUCUUGGUUUUCUUUCCACUAAACUGGAAAACACCGCCCGGCCCCGCACUAGAGUACAUUCUACUCCAGAUGUUUCGCUUGAUCACAAUCGACUUGUGUGGAUAUUACAAUUCCAAAAUAGCUUUCUACCGGGUGGAGAGCCUGGUUCUGUCUUGUGCAUGAGUCCAGAUAGGCUGAUCCGCAUUGCACACAGUUGAAUGUGCUCACCGGCGGACAAUAGUUUUCCAUUAGAGGACGCGAUUCUCCCCGGAGCUCCGGGGCCAAGCCACAGACAAUAACACGGCGACCUAAAGCUCGCGUCUGGGGCUCCCCGAGUCAACCGGCAUCACGUCCGCAGGCUGAUUCUCCCUCUGUGCCGCCUCCACACGACAGGCUUAUCUGGAGCAAGCUUGUCCAAGUUAAUAAAGUAGGAGCAGCUUAUUUGAUUAAGAGUGCAUACAAAGGAGGAUGGAGUCACUGGGAGACCAAACAUUGGGUGCUGGGAUCACUAGAAGUGUCUUUAAAAAGGCUUCUUACAAUGAAUCAUGAACACACAAUGUUCUCCCACGGUUUGGGCCUUCAAAUUGGUUCAGUGUUUCUCUUUCUUUUUUGGGGGGGGGAUUUUCUGUGACAAGUGUUUUGUUAGAAGGGGGAUGGAGUUUGUGCUCCAAUCAGAGUUUGGCCCCAUUUGCAUUUAAAUCUGAUGACAAUUGGGGGGGGUUUGUUUGCUGGUUUUGCCGGCACUGUCAAUCAAAUCGGAUCAGACCACAGAGUCCAGACGAAGCCGUUUGCACUCCGAGUUCAGGUGGGAAACGUUUUCGUCAUGAAGGAAGAUUGUUACCGAGGCGGCUCGGAGUAUCUUUGAUUGUCACGACGCUCACAGCUGUACGUGGUUGGCUUACCGUUAAAAAAGUUAAAGGAAAGCGCUGUAAAAAAGCUCCACCUCCCAGUGCCUCUAAAGCAACUAGAACGCUCAAUGUAUUUGAUUUAAUUCGUACAAAAUUGCAAUGCAACAAUGUGCCAAUUUCCUCGAGGUUUCUUGCACGUGUUUGUUUUAACACUUUUUUGUGUUUUUUCUUAUUGAACAAAAUAAUUAUAAUGUGGUAUUUGAUGAGCUGUGGGUGCACAUAUUUUUUAUUGUUUAGCUUUGUUGUAUAUUCUUACUUUAUUUAGUCAUGACCAUAACAGAAAUAUAUAUAUGUGUGAUUUACAAUACGUGUAAUUAUAUUCUGGUAUGCGAUUUUGUUCGUUUCAAACUUUGACAACAUAUUGAUUAGAAAUUGUUCCAGUUUUUGUGUGAUUUUUCUCUUUUUCCCUUUUUCUUAUGUUUUUAGGGUCAGCCUGUACUUGAGGGAGUGUUUUAUACACACUGCCAGUCAGAUAUUUUAAAUUUGUCUCCCUUCAAUUUGUCUCCAGCGAUUUUCAAUUUGUCUCCCUUCAAAGACAGGAGGAUAGUUUUAACAUUGCACUCCCCAUGUAAACUCAUUUUGGUCUUUUUUUUUAAUUUUGGUAAUGGCUUUUGGAUUGUUUGAAGUGUGCUUACCCACCUGUAGUCCUCUUAAUCACGUUGAGGGUCUCCUGCCUUUGUGCUGUAAGUAACGAGAGGGGUCUUAAUCUUACUGAGAUCAAACCCCCCCUGAUCAACGAUAGUGUUCCUUCAUCUCCUUGGGAGCGGAGGACGAAUGUGUCAAAGGCUGCGGACGGAACAAUUGUUACCCACUAACAGUAAGAGAACGUAGCACACUGAUGUUGAGCAUUUAGAAUCCUUUCAAUGAUGAUGUACAAAUAAACGUAUUUUUUCUGGGAAACACAA